rnacentral:rRNA from 1 species
UAGUCGGGACCUAAGCUGAGGCCGAAAGGCGUAGGUGAUGGACAACAGGUUGAUAUUCCUGUACUACCGAUAACCGUUUGGGAGAAGGGAUGACACAGUAGGAUAAGCUAAGCACACUGUUGGUUAUGUGUGCCCAAGCAUUGAGGCAGUCAAAGUAGGCAAAUCCGCUUUGAUAAUGCUGGGAUGUGAUGGGGAGCGAAAUUUAGUA